rnacentral:lncRNA from 1 species
AUGUUCUUAAAAUAUCAUUUGUUGCUUGUGACUCUUUCAUCCAACUUAUACUCAAGUAUAUCUCCAUAUAAAAAUAAUUGUUCCUUCUUGAUGAUUCUGUUUAUAGUUUUCUCAUACUAUAACUUUUAUCCUCUACCAAGGCUACUAGCUUGUCUCCCAUUUCGAAGGCUCGUGUGAAUGCUAAGUAUUGAAGUUCGCCUCAUCUUUGAAGCAAGAUGGUCCUCCUCUGUCAGCUUAAUUUCACACCUCAACUUACAAUAUUUAUUGCUUGGGAGAUUCUCAAUCUCCUCUAACAUGCAACCUUUAAAGACAAAUGUAUUAUCAGCAUUAAGUAAGGAAUUUAUGAGGACCUAUUAAUAAUAAUUUCAGUCUGCAUAUUUUUUGUCUGCUUUUCCAUACUUUAGCAAACUAAAGACAUAACAUAUAUCUUCUAUAUUUAUACACAUAGAACGAUCAGGGUCCAUCUUAUGAUUCUUCAUUUUCUUCAUAAGUUCUUUAUAAGAUAAGUUAUCAUUAAUCUUAAUUAAAUCAAUAGGAGAAACCCAAGCUCUAUAUGUCAUUAUGUCAUUAAUCCGUCUUCCUUAGUUCACAUUUUAUAACAAAAGGCAUAUAGGACAAAUAACAUAAUGUUCAUAUCGAUAAUUGUUAACAAACGACUAAACACGAAAUACAAUCUAAUUUCAGCCAAUGUCCAUAAUAAAAAAUAUAUUUUCGAGCUCCUACUAGAGCGAAAUAUUUAUUAACAUAUAAUGCUCAUCCAUGAGACUAUAUAUAUUCAAUCCGAAAUUUUAUUUCAAAUAUAUUAAAAAAUAGGAAAUUAAUUUUCAAAUCAAAGGCAUAAACGGCGCACAAGUUGGAGUCUCAAAUAGCAAGAUACACAAAAAAAUAAUAAUAAUCUGAACAAUCCCCAUGCGCACUGGCAAGCGCAUGUGCUUCACGCAUGCCACAGUGCUGUGCAUGUCCCCACGCGCACAACCAUCACGUGGGCACGACUCUGGUGAUGUCAAUCUAGCACUAUCCAACUCUAUUUUUUGUCUUGAAUCCAACGAUGCCCUUAGAUUUUCGAAUGGAGAUCAGAAUAAUCUGGAAUGGUCGAAAAAUUGAUUCUAGCACUACUCAUCAUCUUCUCCAAAAAUUAAGGUUUCUGAUUUUCAGCCCCAAACCAACCAGAUUCUUGUUUUGGCCCUAACUUUCUCAUUUAUGUCCAUUUUUAACAAAUCACAUAAUGUUGGAUAGCUCUUGAAAAGAUCUUUCCAAUGAUAUAUUAAGUUAUAAGCAAUUGAAGUUUCAGGUUUCAAGAUUUCUUAAGGUUUAUGCAUUAUAAACCUUAGGUCGUUUCUAUUUCUAUCAAUUCUAGAAUUUAUACUAUAAUUUAAACACUUCAGAACACAAAACCAACAUCGACCAGAUCAUACAUUUCAUAAAAAUCAAUUAACAUAGAAAAUUCAUACUUUUUCAUGAAAAAAACGUAACCAUAUACACGAAUCCAACACAAAAACAAGCUCUAAUAUCAAUGAAGGAAAAUAAAAAGAUUCAAGAGCCUACCUUUCUUCACAAAUCAAGCAACGAAAUAAUCAAAUGUUAGAUUACGUCAAUGGUCGGAAGGAAAUCAUAGAUGGAAAUCCUCCUCUUGAUCACAGUAUAAAUGCCUUUUCAAAAUGGGUUAUUCAAAUGUUCUUGGUUCAGUAUUAAGAAGAAGAGAAGAAGUUGAAGUCGAAGAAAAAUCUGUAUUCGAUUGGGAAGAACGUAUUCGACUAUUGGGGAAGUUGAUCCAAAAUCAACUUUCCUUUGAACAACUCCCAAAAACCGUACGUAGUUACCAUGUAUGGG